GCGCCUGUAGCUCAGCGGAUAGAGCGGCUGCCUUCUAAGCAGCGGGCCGGGGGUUCGAGUCCCUCCAGGCGCGCCA
rnacentral:tRNA from 1 species